UGUAUAUAUACACACAGAGACAGACGAGUUCAUACAAUCACAUAUGAGACACCAAGUGGAGGAACAGUUUCAAUCGAUCAAGCUAUAGAGAUAUAUGGCAGAGUGCCCAGGUAAAAACUCAUGGCCGGAGCUUGUGGGUGUGAACGGAGAUGCGGCCGCAGCGGUGGUGGAGAGGGAGAAUCCGAACGUGGAAGCCAUAGUGCUCAAGGAAGGGACGCCGGUCACCAAGGAUUUCCGGUGCAGCCGAGUCCGAGUUUGGGUCGACGACUACAAGAUCGUCACCCGAACUCCCAAAAUUGGUUAAUGUUACACCGAAAACGAACCAGUAUAUAAGUGAAUUAGUAUGUGUGGGGGUAACGUUUUUAGUUAUACAAUAAGGUCGAUGAUCAUAUGGAAAAUAAUGUGAUACGAACAAAAUGGUAUUAAUUUUCGGGUUCAAAUCUCACAUGGGCAAAAUAUUAUUAAAAAAAAUGGUAUUAAUUAUAAUAAUAUCCUGUCAACUUGAACGAUAUCUUA